UCAAGUAAGUAAGGGCGUACGGCGGAUGCCUUGGCCAUAUCAGCCGAAGAAGGACGCGAUAAGCUGCGAUAAGCUGCGGUGAGGUGCAAGUAACCUUUGACCCGCAGGUCUCCGAAUGGGGAAACCCGGCAGCAGUAGUGCUGUCAUCCUCUAUGAGGAAGGGCACCCGGUGAACUGAAACAUCUAAGUAGCCGGAGGAAAAGGAAUCAACAGAGAUACCCCUAGUAGCGGCGAGCGAACGGGGCAGAGCCCAAACCGGAAUGGGAAACCAAUCCGGGGUUGUGGACUGCUAUCAAAUGCAUGAGUGAAGCAGAAUGAGCUGGGAAGCUCAGCCAGAGAGAGUGAGAGCCUCGUAGGCGUAAGCAAAUGCAUGGAGCAGGAUCCAGAGUACCACGGGACACGAGAAACCCUGUGGGAAGCUGGGGGGACCACCCUCCAAGGCGAAACACUGAUAUGGACCGAUAGCGCAUAGUACCGUGAGGGAAAGGUGAAAAGAACCCCGGGAGGGGAGUGAAAGAGAACCUGAAACCGUAUGUCUACAAGCAGUCGAAGACCUUUAUAUGGUCGACGGCGUGCCUAUUGAAGAAUGAACCGGCGAGUUACUUCAGCUAGCGAGGUUAAGCGGAAAACGUGGAGCCGAAGCGAAAGCGAGUCUGAACAGGGCGUAUAGUUAGUUGGAGUAGACCCGAAACCACAGUGAUCUACCCAUGUCCAGGUUGAAGCACAGGUAAAAAUGUGUGGAGGACCGAACCAGUGAGCGUUGAAAAGCUUUUGGAUGAGAUGUGGGUAGGGGUGAAAUGCCAAUCGAACGUGGAGAUAGCUGGUUCUCCCCGAAAUAGCUUUAGGGCUAGCCUCAUGGCGAGAGUACAGGCGGUAGAGCACUGAACGGGGUAGGGGCCUAUCCGGCUACUGAACCUAAUCAAACUGCGAAUGGCUGUACUUAUCCAUGGGAGUCAGACUGUGAGUAAUAAGGCCCAUAGUCAAGAGGGAAACAGCCCAGACCAACAGCUAAGGUCCCCAAUGCCGUACUAAGUGGCGAAGGAUGUGGAAUUUCGAAAACAACCAGGAUGUUGGCUCAGAAGCAGCCACCAUUAAAAGAGUGCGUAAUAGCUCACUGGUCGAGAGACUCUGCGCCGAAGAUGUCCGGGGCUAAAGUACGGAACCGAAGCUUUGGCAAUUGACAUUAGUCAAUUGGGUAGGGGAGCGUUCCUGCAUGGGAGAAGCCUGACCGGAAGGACAGGUGGACAGGCAGGAAGAGAGAAUGCCGGUAUGAGUAGCGAAAAGAAGGGUGAGAAUCCCUUCCACCGAAAGCCUAAGGGUUCCUGGGCAACGAUCGUCGUCCCAGGGUAAGUCGGGACCUAAUCCGAGGCGGAGACGCGUAGGAGAUGGACAACAGGUUGAAAUUCCUGUACUGGCUGAGGCCGUUUGAGCGAAGGAGUGACACAGGAAGGAAGGCGCGCGUGCGAUUGGAAGAGCACGUCCAAGCAGGUAGGUUGGGAGACAGGCAAAUCCGUUUCCCAUGAGGCCGAGAUGCGAUGGGGAGCUUCUGGAGACAGAAGCGAAGGGGCUGGCACUAAACUGUCGAGAAAAGCUUCUAGUGAGGACUCAGGCACCCGUACCGAAACCGACACAGGUAGGCAGGAUGAGAAUUCUAAGGUGCGCGGGAAAACCCUCGUUAAGGAACUCGGCAAAAUAUAUCCGUAACUUCGGGAAAAGGAUAACCCAGCGUACGUGAAGUGCAGAAGCGCACGGAGCGGAGAUGGGUGGCAGAAGAGAGGCCCAAGCGACUGUUUACCACAAACACAGGCGUCUGCUAAAGCGAAAGCUGAUGUAUAGAUGCUGACACCUGCCCGGUGCUGGAAGGUUAAGAGGAAGUGUUAGCGCAAGCGAAGCAGUGAAUUGAAGCCCCAGUAAACGGCGGCCGUAACUAUAACGGUCCUAAGGUAGCGAAAUUCCUUGUCGGGUAAGUUCC
rnacentral:rRNA from 1 species